UCCUCAGUAGCUCAGUGGUAGAGCGGGUCGGUUGUUAACUGACUGGUCGUAGGUUCGAAUCCUACUUGAGAAG
rfam:Vitis vinifera complete mitochondrial genome, cultivar Pinot noir clone ENTAV115